ACACGUGGCUAUCUUUGGCCUGCCGAAACUUCAGCACAGCUCCCUUAUCGUCUUAGGUGCUGGUGGACGUUUGCUUUCGCCUUGCGCGCCCGACCGGUAGAGAGCACAGGAGGACGAGGAAGCGGGGGAAGUGAGGGAGGUGCAUUUUGGUGUUCUAUUUGUUGAGGAGGUCAAAGAUGUCAGCUGCAUCGGCCUGCUGCGGCAGUCAAUCCUUCCACCCUCGCCUGGUGAUCGAGGGGUCGCGACGAAGUGCUGUUCUCACCUCAGUUAACCCAACAGCUUCAUUUCUUUCUGCCAACAGGCUGGUGAAUUCAAGCAGCAGAAAAGCCAGACUGGUAGUUAAGGCCUCGGCUAGAGUGGAUAAGUGCUCAAAGAAUGACAUUAUGGUGGCUCCUUCAAUUCUUUCUGCUAACUUUGCAAAGUUGGGAGAACAGGUUAAAGCUGUGGAAAAAGCAGGUUGUGAUUGGAUUCAUGUUGAUGUGAUGGAUGGACGUUUCGUACCGAAUAUCACCAUUGGGCCACUUGUUGUUGAUGCCUUGCGUCCUGUGACAGAUCUGCCACUGGAUGUGCAUUUGAUGAUUGUGGAGCCUGAGCAGCGUGUACCAGAUUUUGUGAAGGCUGGUGCUGACAUUGUCAGUAUCCACUGUGAGCAGUCCUCCACUAUUCAUUUGCACAGAACAAUUAAUCAAGUGAAAAGCUUAGGAGCCAAAGCAGGAGUCGUAUUAAACCCUGGAACUCCAUUAAGUGCAAUUGAAUAUGUUCUUGAUGCUGUGGAUUUGAUCUUGAUAAUGUCGGUCAAUCCUGGUUUUGGUGGGCAGAGCUUCAUUGAAAGUCAAGUAAAGAAAAUAUCAAACUUGAGAAGAUUAUGCGCUGAGAAGGACGUGAAUCCAUGGAUCGAAGUAGAUGGUGGAGUAGGCCCUUCAAAUGCUUACAAGGUUAUUGAAGCUGGGGCAAACGCUAUAGUAGCAGGGUCUGCUGUAUUUGGAGCUAAAGAUUAUGCAGAAGCAAUCAAAGGGAUCAAGACAAGCAAGAGGCCAGUAGCAGUUCCAGCGUGACUAUAUAAACUGAAUUAGAUCCCAAGAAAUUUGAUGGUUCAUGGUGCAGGUGUUUGUGCUCUUGAUAAUAGAUUUUAUGAUUUCCCUUAUGGUACGAAAUAUUUUAGCCUCAGUAAGGGGGAGAUGUUCCACGUUUAUUAUAUGCCUUUUCUUAAUUAGUUGCUGUGAUUGGUAUGCUCAGCAUUGCAUUUGCAUGGAAACAUCGAUGGAAGCUUUGGCAUGUUUUUUCAAUAAAAUAAUUUGUUAAUGUA